rnacentral:misc_RNA from 1 species
GAUGAAGAACGUAGCGAAAUGCGAUACGUAAUGUGAAUUGCAGAAUUCAGCGAAUCAUCGAAUCUUUGAACGCACAUUGCACUCCUUGGUAUUCCGAGGAGUAUGCCUGUUUCAGUAUCAUGAGCACUCUCACAUCUAACCUUUGGGUUAAAAUGUGGAAUUGGGAUGCGCCGGUUAUUAUAACGGCCCUCCUAAAAUUCAGUUCUUGGCUGCUUCCUACUACAGCAGUUUGGCCUAAUAGUUUUGAGUCUUCGAUUCAAAUCUUUGGCUAACAUUUGCUUCAGGAUGUCAGUCUUGAUAUACAGAAAUCUCAUUCAAACUUUGAUCUGAAAUCAGGUAGGGCUACCCGCUGAACUUAAGCAUAUCAAUAAGCGGAGGA